rnacentral:rRNA from 1 species
UACGUAGGGUGCGAGCGUUAAUCGGAAUUACUGGGCGUAAAGCGUGCGCAGGCGGUUUUGUAAGACAGCUGUGAAAUCCCCGGGCUCAACCCGGGAACUGCGGUUGUGACUGCAAGACUGGAGUGUGGCAGAGGGGGGUGGAAUUCCACGUGUAGCAGUGAAAUGCGUAGAGAUGUGGAGGAACACCGAUGGCGAAGGCAGCCCCCUGGGUCAACACUGACGCUCAUGCACGAAAGCGUGGGGAGCAAACAGG